rnacentral:rRNA from 1 species
AGGAUGAACGCUGGCGGCGUGCCUAAUACAUGCAAGUCGAGCGAACGGACGAGAAGCUUGCUUCUCUGAUGUUAGCGGCGGACGGGUGAGUAACACGUGGAUAACCUACCUAUAAGACUGGGAUAACUUCGGGAAACCGGAGCUAAUACCGGAUAAUAUUUUGAACCGCAUGGUUCAAAAGUGAAAGACGGUCUUGCUGUCACUUAUAGAUGGAUCCGCGCUGCAUUAGCUAGUUGGUAAGGUAACGGCUUACCAAGGCAACGAUGCAUAGCCGACCUGAGAGGGUGAUCGGCCACACUGGAACUGAGACACGGUGCAGACUCCUACGGGAGGCAGCAGUAGGGAAUCUUCCGCAAUGGGCGAAAGCCUGACGGAGCAACGCCGCGUGAGUGAUGAAGGUCUUCGGAUCGUAAAACUCUGUUAUUAGGGAAGAACAUAUGUGUAAGUAACUGUGCACAUCUUGACGGUACCUAAUCAGAAAGCCACGGCUAACUACGUGCCAGCAGCCGCGGUAAUACGUAGGUGGCAAGCGUUAUCCGGAAUUAUUGGGCGUAAAGCGC